rnacentral:lncRNA from 1 species
UAAAUAUACUUUUGUCCACUCACUCUAACGUUUUCAAAUGUUUUCCCUUGGGCCAUUCGUUUUAAAAUGCCCAGUUUGUAGGUUAGCAUAGUUGAGGUCAGGCGUACAUGGAGUCGAGGCAUAAUCCAUUAUAUAGCUUUUGUCACAUCCCGACCCUUAUAUUUUUACCUUAUUUACUAGCGUGAUUAUAAUAAGAAUUUUACCGUCUCGAUCAUGAGUAAAUAAUUUAAUUGGUCCCUAGAGGGGUUUCGGGGACGAUUAUGUGCGGAGGAUUAUUCGUAUGAGGAAAAUACGACGACGGUAAAAAUGGUAAAUUUUAGCUAGUAAAAGGUAAUUUUUAUUCGGGUAUUAUUUUUCGGGGUGUUUUUAUUUUUGGAAGAUUGGGUUAGAAGUGGUGUGGACCGGUUUGGGGUGUGAGGCCCAAACCCUUUUUCUCUUUUCCCUCUCUCCCGUUUUCUCUCUCUCUCCCCCGAUUUUUUUCCUUUCCUUCCCGCCUGCCGUCCGUCCGGCCGUCCUCCUGCCGCCGUCCGGCCACCCAGCUGCCGCCGCUCCACCCCACGUUCGGACCCCCACUCUCCUCCUCUCCCUCCCCGGCCUAGCCCCCGACGCCUCUAACCCGCCGGAGAGGAGAAAAAGCCGCCGGAACCGCCGACUGUGUCUUCGCCGGAGCUCCGUCCUCCGGCCACCAUAGGUCGUGAUUUUUGGCUCAACUUGUAGCCCUCAUCUAGGUGAGUAAUCCCUCAAAAGGUUUCGGCUUAAUUCGAUUUCGUUAGGGUGGUUUGUAUAAUUGAAAGUUUUAGGGAUUUAUGGUUUUUUGUGUUCGAUUGACAUGGUUAGGCUUAGAAUUGGAGUUUGUGUUGGUCAUGAAAGUUGUAGAGGAGAUUGAGAGGAAGAUUCUGUUAAAAUUUGGUGGCAUUUGCAGGUUGCCGGAGUUGGUCGCCGGCCGCCGCUGCCGGCGGAGCCGCCGGCGGCGGCGCCGCUGUUUUGGGAAAUUUUAUGGUUUUUGAUGUAGAAUAUUAAGGGGAUAUUAUUGAAGUGAAUUAUGGAAUUUUUGGAUGAGAUUUGGAUAGGUUUGUGAAUUUCCGAAGUUUGGUAUUUUUGGCGGUUAAUUAAUGUAGAAUCCGGCCGUUGGAUUUAAGUCAUAUUUUGGAGAGGUUGUAUUUACGACUGUUGAGUAUGAUAUUUAAGUUUGGAUUAUUCCGAUGUAAGAAUAUCGAAGUUAGGCAAUG